rnacentral:rRNA from 1 species
AGUGAACGCUGGCGGUAGGCCUAACACAUGCCAGUCGAACGGUAGCACAGUAAGAGCUUGCUCUUACGGGUGGCGAGUGGCGGACGGGUGAGGAAUACAUCGGAAUCUACUUUUUCGUGGGGGAUAACGUAGGGAAACUUACGCUAAUACCGCAUACGACCUACGGGUGAAAGCAGGGGAUCUUCGGACCUUGCGCGAUUGAAUGAGCCGAUGUCGGAUUAGCUAGUUGGCGGGGUAAAGGCCCACCAAGGCGACGAUCCGUAGCUGGUCUGAGAGGAUGAUCAGCCACACUGGAACUGAGACACGAUCCAGACUCCUACGGGAGGCAGCAGUGGGGAAUAUUGGACAAUGGGCGCAAGCCUGAUCCAGCCAUACCGCGUGGGUGAAGAAGGCCUUCGGGUUGUAAAGCCCUUUUGUUGGGAAAGAAAAGCAGCAGGUUAAUACCCCGCUGUUCUGACGGUACCCAAAGAAUAAGCACCGGCUAACUUCGUG